GACGGAGGGUGCUAGCGUUGUUCGGAAUCACUGGGCGUAAAGGGCGCGUAGGCGGCCUUGGCAGUCGGCUUUGUGAAAGCCCGGGGCUCAACCCCGGAGGUGCGGCCGAUACACCGAGGCUUGAGGCCGGAAGAGGAGGGUGGAAUACCCAGUGUAGAGGUGAAAUUCGUAGAUAUUGGGUGGAACACCGGUGGCGAAAGCGGCUCUCUGGUCCGGACCUGACGCUGAGGCGCGAAAGCGUGGGGAGCAAACAGG
rnacentral:rRNA from 1 species